rnacentral:rRNA from 1 species
GGGGGAUAACUACUGGAAACGGUGGCUAAUACCGCAUAACGUCGCAAGACCAAAGAGGGGGACCUUCGGGCCUCUUGCCAUCAGAUGUGCCCAGAUGGGAUUAGCUAGUUGGUGAGGUAACGGCUCACCAAGGCGACGAUCCCUAGCUGGUCUGAGAGGAUGACCAGCCACACUGGAACUGAGACACGGUCCAGACUCCUACGGGAGGCAGCAGUGGGGAAUAUUGCACAAUGGGCGCAAGCCUGAUGCAGCCAUGCCGCGUGUAUGAAGAAGGCCUUCGGGUUGUAAAGUACUUUCAGCGGGGAGGAAGGUGUUGUGGUUAAUAACCACAGCAAUUGACGUUACCCGCAGAAGAAGCACCGGCUAACUCCGUGCCAGCAGCCGCGGUAAUACGGAGGGUGCAAGCGUUAAUCGGAAUUACUGGGCGUAAAGCGCACGCAGGCGGUCUGUCAAGUCGGAUGUGAAACC